AUUGAACGCUGGCGGCAUGCUUUACACAUGCAAGUCGAACGGCAGCGCGGGCUUCGGCCUGGCGGCGAGUGGCGAACGGGUGAGUAAUGCAUCGGAACGUGCCCAGGAGUGGGGGAUAGCCCGGCGAAAGCCGGAUUAAUACCGCAUACGACCUGAGGGUGAAAGCGGGGGACCGAAAGGCCUCGCGCUCUUGGAGCGGUCGAUGGCGGAUUAGCGAGUUGGUGGGGUAAAGGCUUACCAAGGCGACGAUCCGUAGCUGGUCUGAGAGGACGACAAGCCACACUGGGACUGAGACACGGCCCAGACUCCUACGGGAGGCAGCAGUGGGGAAUUUUGGACAAUGGGGGCAACCCUGAUCCAGCCAUGCCGCGUGCGGGAAGAAGGCCUUCGGGUUGUAAACCGCUUUUGUUCGGGAAGAAAUCCUCUGGGCUAAUACCCCGGGGGGAUGACGGUACCGGAAGAAUAAGCACCGGCUAACUACGUG
rnacentral:rRNA from 1 species